rnacentral:rRNA from 1 species
GACGAACGUUGGCGGUGCGCUUAAUGCAUGCAAGUCGAGCGAGAAGCUUUGGUUCCGUAAGGUUCCGAAGUGGAAAGCGGCGAACGGGUGCGUAACACGUGAGAAACCUGCCCCUUAGACCGGGAUAGCCCGAGGAAACUCGGAUUAAUACCGGAUACUCUCUUUGGAUCGCAUGAUCCGUUGAGGAAAUACUCAGGUGCUAAGGGAUGGUCUCGCGGCCUAUCAGGUAGUUGGUGAGGUAACGGCUCACCAAGCCGAAGACGGGUAGCUGGUCUGAGAGGACGAUCAGCCACACUGGAACUGAGACACGGUCCAGACUCCUACGGGAGGCAGCAGCAGGGAAUAUUGCACAAUGGGCGAAAGCCUGAUGCAGCGACACCGCGUGCGGGAUGACGGCCUUCGGGUUGUAAACCGCUUUAGGAGGGAGAAAAUGACGGUACCUCCAGAAGAAGCUCCGGCCAACUACGUGCCAGCCGCCGCGGUAA